rnacentral:rRNA from 1 species
GAUGAACGCUGGCGGCGUGCCUAAUACAUGCAAGUCGAGCGAACGGACGGGGAGCUUGCUUCUCUGAUGUUAGCGCCGGACGGGUGAGUAACACGUGGAUAACCUACCUAUAAGACUGGGAUACCUUCGGGAAACCGGCGCUAAUACCGGAUGAUAUUUUGACCCGCAUGGUUCCAAAGUGAAAGAAGGUCUUGCUGUCACUUAUAGAUGGACCCGCGCUGCAUUAGCUAGUUGGUAAGGUAACGGCUUACCAAGGCAACGAUGGAUAGCCGACCAGAGAGGCGGAUAGCCGAAGCUGGAAUUGAGGCACGGUCCAGCAUCCUACGGGAGGCAGCAGGAGGGAAUCUUCCGCAAUGGGCGAAAGCGUGACGGAUGAACGCCGCGUGAGAGAUGAAGGUCGUCGUGUCGUAAAACUCUGUAAUGAGGGAAGAACAUAUGAGUAUUUAACCGUGCACAUCUUGACGGUACCUAAUCAGAAAGCCACGGCUAACUACGGU